UGUUAUUUUAGUCCAUCAAUCAGAGCUCAGCAUGCCAGAUGUCCAACCUGUUCCUUCCAGUUCCGCACAGUCGAGGACGUGACUCACGCCAGGUUUCCCAAAGGACGUCAUUUUACGUUGCGUUGUCGUUAUGAAACUGACACCUGUUGCGCUUGCCCAACGGCUACAGAAGCGGAAAGGGGCGGCCUGUCGUCCCGAUGCAGGGUACGCACGCGCCGCCUGGCCGUCGGCUACAGCCCCCCAGGAGGAGCCAUUCCUAUGCCGCCGGCGAGUUGGUCUACACUCCACGGUACCGUCCACAGCCACAGCAGGUGCCACUCUACCACCAUGACAACUAUGUGUAUCCUGAACAAAUGCAGACCAGCGCAAGAUUUGCCCUGCCCGGCCUGGCUUACGUGUACCAGGGAGCAGUUGUUCCAAAGAACGUUUGGCCUCAGGAUCAAAUAAGACAAAAAGACGCUUUCAAGUUGUCACGCAUACCUCAGAGGAGCAAUAGCGCCAGGAUUGUUCCAGUCACCGCGUCGCAGGAGUUUCCCGUGCGGGGUGAGUUCACUUCUGCACCCGAGAACACUGACCCGCCCGAGGCCUGGAACUUGAUCUAUUUCACGACGGAAGCGUCCAAGAGAAGAGGGGUGCCCGACGACUUUCCGAUUUACAAUAUUGUGUCAACCUCUGGAGCCAUGGACGUUGAGGUAGCAGGUAAAAAGAAAGGUCUCAUUAAAAGGGCUCUUUCGUCUCUGUCUUUCAGGAAUAAAAUUUCCAUCUAGAAUUACAUGUGCGGAAAUGUUUGUUGUCAAUCAAUAUUGUUCUAGAUUUUCCCUGGACAUACACAAACAUUCUGCCAACAGAGUACAGUAUCGAAACAACAUGUCUUGUAUAUGCCAAAUGCCAGUAUUGAAACCGUAAAGUGCAGUAUUUAUAAUAAUGAUGAUGAUGAUAAUAAUAAUGAUAAUGAGCAAAACAGCACGGCCCAGUCAAACCUGUUCAAGUGGCCACCCUUACAUUCGUAGUGACCACCUGUACUAUGUCACCACUUUUUGGUGGUCCCUUAAAUGAUCUUUCCCUUGACACAGGCAUAGAACGUUUUGUCAAUAGUGACCACCUGUCCAUAUAAGACCAAAUUUUAUCGGUUCUCUGACUGGUUUGUUUUGACUGUAUAUGCAAAGUACAAUACAGCACAUAUGCCAACAGCUGUUCCCUAUAACAGAAAGAAAUGUACCCAAGGAGUACCAAACAGCAUUGUAAAUUUUAGUGAUGUUGAAAUAUUUCAAGUAGCAUUGCUAGUAGUACUGGUAGCAGCAACAAGGACUGUUACAGUAAUGUUUUCUUCUGUAUGCCAUUGCCCAGACAAAAUAACUCUAUAUAUACUAUACUUCUAUCUUGUAAAUAAAAACAAGGUUCACGUUACAGACUGAGUUCUCCCAGCGAGGAUUUAUUGACUAGUUUUGUAUCAGAAACCGUGUCACCAUCAACUCAAGCAGCAAAUCCAAAUGUGACUAUUUAUGUAACUAAAUCGCUAAGUAAAUCAUACCCAUUUACAGCCAUGUUCGUAUGACAGCUCCCUGCAACUAAAAUGACAAGCUUCAUACAAUGUAUAGCACUGCUUAAGCUCGCUGUAUUCUUCAAAACUUUAUCAAAAUUAAUGGAAGACAAUGCUUACCACUGUCAUUGCCCUUUGCCAACAUUUCCUUUGACUUGCAUGGUCAUAACUUCUGUAUGCCACUUAUCAAGCCUAAAUGUCAUUUUUACUUCUUGUUGCGGAUUAUAUGAUACAUAACAAUUGCAUGAUUACUGAUAUAUCAACCUGUCCAUUGCCAUGGUAACUAAGCCAUCUUAGUUAAGAGUUUUAUACUAGAAAACUUUAGGGGAAUGCUUACAUUGUAACUUACAAUAUGUAGCAUUGUAUCUCCUAUUACAAAGCAAAACUAAGUGUCAAAACAUUCCCCUUAUAUGACAUACAUGUACAAAUACGUACUCCCCAAAAGAAAGAAUUUCACUUCUAGGGAUAAAAGUCUCAGUAAUGUGACUGCUAAUGUAUCCUGCUUUAGUAUAAAUAUCACUUACUCAUAGCCACACCAAUUCAAUUGUGUAGUUUUUUUUAAACCAUCUUCUUUUGAUUUUUGUUUGAAGGUUUGAAAUUUAGGCUUGUCACAAAAAUGGAGAUAAUACAGUUCCGAUGCUGAGGAUAUUUUUACUCUCAAUAUCCAGUGUAAAUGCACAAUUGAAUUGAUGUGGCGAUAGGUGACCAACAUAACUACUAGCAGUCAGCAGAUAUCACAGCAACCUUACAUAUUACUGUCUUUAGGGGGUUAUGAACCAGCCCCUACAAGUGUGGUUUAGAUUAAAUCUAGUAAUAAACAGAAAAGAAUCUUAAAUAAAGAACAAAAUAUUUAUGCUAUGUACAAUAUCUACAAUUUCUUUCCUUAAGCAAAAAAAUAUUCAUUUUUGCAUCCUUGUUACACAAAUUUCCUUUGUUGAUAUUAAGGAAUCCAACACUGUUCAUUAGGAUUGAAACAUAUGCAGGUUUCAGGUGUACAACUAUGGUAAUAUCUGUGCUCGACUUGUUACAAAUUGCUCCAGACACAAUUAGAAAAAUAACUCCCAACAUGGACUAAGACAGGAGCAGAGCUUGUACCUUUGUUAGUGUAACCACAUAAAAUGGCACUAUGUACAUUAUCCACCAUUAUACUGUAACACUUGCUGAUUCUUCAUUUACUGGUGGUUCAAUUACAAGUAACACAAUAACUAAAUGCUUUGCACAUUUGAUACUGUUUUGUACAGUAAGAUAUGCUUGCGUGCAUCAACAACAUCUAAAAUGUAUCAUUACUCUACUCUUGAUGUCACACAAAAUGGCACAGAUGGAACUAAAAAUAAUAAUAUUCAAGCACAUCACUGGCAGAGGAUGUCUUUAACAUACACGUAUAUUAAACUUUGUCGCCAUUUGCACUUUUUUUUCAACAUUUCAAACUUUUUCAAAAUUUUUUUAUAUAAUUAUAAAAAAAAUUAAAGAUUGAAAUAAAAAUGUUGGUAUACAUGAAAAUGGACAGGUAAGAAACAAAGAAGAGAACUGUGUGACUGAAGGUUUUAAAAAAAAGACUCAAAUUAUGUACAUGAAAAAAAUCAUUGGCUGCAGAAUGUCUGUCUAUGACAGACCUUUUACACAGCUGACAGUGGCCAAUCUGUGACAGAUGGCCAUGAGUAUGUCAAAUAUACAAAGUAAAGACACAACUGUUGCAGUUUUCUUUUUAACAGCUUUUUACAAAACCAAAAGCUUUCAGCAUAAGGCAACACUUUCCUGCUAGGACAUGUGCAACGAAUGAUAAUAACCAAGUCCAGUCCCAUAAAUGUCUUUUCUAAAAGGUAAUUUGAAAAACUCUUAAGGGUUGGAAAAGAUUACACUUAACAUCUGUCAUUCUUUCAGAACAAAAAGAAAAAUUCAAAGAGAGACUUGCAUCAACUUUAUAUGCAGCAGUGUCUCCUUUCCAUGUUUCUUCACACUUUUAUGUGUUGUUUGAGACCUCUACUCAUAUACCACAUCAUUAUACAGACCAUUGCCUCUUCUACAAUGCAGACAUGGCUAUUUGCCUAAUAGUAUGUUCCCUGUCAAUACUUGUUACAAGGCCUGGGUUAUAAUUAGUACAGAUGAUAAGAUCAUUAUCACAGUAUAAAACGAACAUGUUACAAACACAUAUCUUAUAAACUUACAAAACGUACAGAUUCUCCAUUGUUUUGUUACAAUACAAUGAAACUAAAGUACUAUAUUCUGUCAUGGACACAGUUCCAUCUUACCUACCUACACUUCCUCACUAUGCUCACAUACACAUUUAACUACUACAUGUACACCACAUUCAAUGGAAAAAUUUGCUGUUUCAAAUUGGCAAAUUUGGCAGUUUCAUUCAGACUUCAUAAAACUCAGCUAGUCUAGAAAGAUGUGUUUCACUACAACUAAAAUAAUGCUCUUCAUCUUUACUGUCACUCAACAUUUCCCUGCCAAGUGAAGCUUCUCUACAUUGUAAACUCAUUUGUACACAAAGAGUGAUUACAUCAAGAAAAGGAAAGCAUUUUUAAGGUAAUGAACUUCUGAAUAUUCUCCUUUUCGUUUCAGGCAAGCUUUUGCCUCUUCACCUUUCUUUCGCAAUUUUCUAGGCAAACUCACACUGAUGUACUCUGCAUGCACAUCAUGCAAUCAGUUUCUUUCUUUCAUGGCUUUAUAAAAAAAGCUAGAUUUGAAAUCUAAUACACACGUUUUGGCCUCAGAUCACACACAUAUUAUGUCACUCUACUUGCUGUACAUCCGACUGCUUUACACAAAGUAUUCCUGAUCAAGCAAUUCACAAACAAGACACAAUACACCUUUUCUUAUGUACAUGAUAUCUGAUAUAAAAAAAAUAGUUGAUGAUAAAGUUUUAGGUACAAUGCUGCUUGCUCACUAGCACCAUCAAGGCAGCCCAGUACAUGGGAGCUAUCUAUGUUAACUUGGCAACUUUAGAAAUACACAGAGAAAUGAAACUACUGUGCAAAGGAAGCAACAAAUAUCAAUAGUUAAUUACAUGUUGUUGUUUUUUUGUUACACAGAGG